CCGGGAAACUGGGAUUAAUCCGGGAUAGGUCAUCUCAUCUGGAAGGGGAGAUGGCUUAAAGGGGUGCGACGAGCUUCUUUCACGUAUCCGCUCCAGGAUGGGACUGCGUCCGAUCAGGCUGUUGGACGGGGUAAUGGCCCACCAAACCUGUAACCGGUACGGGCCUUGAGAGAGGUGGCCCGGAGAUGGAUCUCUGAGAGGAAGGGUCCAGGUCCUAGCGGGGGCGCAGGCAGGCGCGAAAGCCUUCGCAAUGGCGUCGAAAGGGCGUGACGAGGUUAAUACACGAAGUGGCCCCUCGCC
rnacentral:rRNA from 1 species